CAGUAGCCGCGGUAAUACAGAGGGUGCGAGCGUUAAUCGGAUUUACUGGGCGUAAAGCGUGCGUAGGCGGAUAUUUAAGUCAGGGGUGAAAUCCCGCAGCUCAACUGCGGAACUGCCUUUGAUACUGGGUAUCUUGAGUAUGGAAGAGGUUAGUGGAAUUGCGAGUGUAGAGGUGAAAUUCGUAGAUAUUCGCAGGAACACCAGUGGCGAAGGCGGCUAACUGGUCCAUAACUGACGCUGAGGUGCGAAAGCGUGGGGAGCAAACAGGAUUAGAUACCCGCGUAGUCCCUGUCUCUUAUAC
rnacentral:rRNA from 1 species